GUCUAUGGCCAUACAACCCUGAGCAUGCCGGUUCUCUUUUGACCUCAGAAGGUGAGCAGGGAUGGCCCGGGUUAGUACUUGGAUGGAAGGAAUGUACGUCUGUGUUUCUGUCCCUUAGGUA
rnacentral:rRNA from 1 species